rnacentral:lncRNA from 1 species
GAGGGAGGCGGAUCUGCUUGGGGUCGAAGAAGAAGAGGAACGAGAGGAGUGAGGAUGUUGUUUACCUGCGCAGCCGGAGCCUGGAGCCGGAGAAGACGAACCGCAACGGUGGGGAACCAGGGAGUGAGGCGGAUCUGCGAGGGUCGUGGGGAGGAGGCGACUAGGCGAGGAACCGAGGGAGGCGGAGGGCCGGAGGGGCUAAGGGAGAAGCGGGGUUACGAGGAGGGAGGCGGAUGGGUGACCGGCGAGCCGGCGGCGGGCGAGGACGCCGGAUCUGAGAGGGGACUAGGGGAGGAGCAGUUACAGGGGUAGGGAGGCGAAGCCGGCGGAGGGGCCACCAGCAAGCCGGCGGUGAGCGAGGAUGCCGGAUCUGAGAGUGGAGGAGCAGUUACGGGGGGGAGGGAGGCGGAGGGGCCACCGGCGAGCCGGCGGCGGGCAAGGACGGUGGAGGAUCUAGGGGAGGAGGCGAGGAGCCGGGAGGGAGCGGGGAGGAGGCGAGGAGCCGGGACCGGGAGAGAGCGAGAGAGAGACAGAGGCGGCUCGAUGCGGGAGCGGGGGCCGGGGGGUAGGGUUUCGGCCGGGGACGGGUUCGCGCCGGCCUUAUAUACGGCCGUUGGCCGGGCCGAGGCAGGCCUGGCAGGCCUUAACAGGCCAUGCCGGCCGUUGCUGGCCCACGGGCCAAAUGGGCCAGGCCGUGCCGGGCCAGCCCACGUGCUGAGGUAGCAUACCAGGCCCGGCCCGUGAUGUAGGCCGGGCCGGGCCUGCCUGCAAGGCCGUCGUGCUGGGCCGUGCCUGUACCGGGCCAAAAUGUCGUGCCAUGGGCCGGCCCACGGGUCGCGGGCCAAAUGGAAAUCUAUACUUUAGCUCCUGAUAUCCAAACAAACGGCCCCUCCAUCUAAACCAUCAGCCAUUGCAGGAACGGUUGGCAAUUCUAUUAAAUAGCCG